GACAAAAGUAACCCUCCGAUCGAAACCUGGAGUGGUUGUUGUAGCUAAUUCAUUUCACCUCUCUUCUCCAAUGAGUUUCUGAAAACGAAUUAGGUUUCGUUGAGAGAAAAAUGUAAAAGAAAAUCUCAAUAAGUUUUCAUAUAAAUCAGGGAGUUAGUAUUCGUUUAUUGAGUUUAAGAAAGCACAAAUCGAUUCAAUCCAUCUUCAAAACCAAAGUCUGAUUAUCAGUUAGCAGUUGAUUCAGCAAGCCUGGAUCCGACAUCAUCGACAUCUAUUCUCAAAGAAUUAGCUUGAUAUUUAUGUGGAUGGUAGAUGAAAUCACCAACAACACUUGAAUAUUAAGAUUCAUCAACAAUUAGGUUUUCUGCUUCUCCAUCUUUGAGUCCUCAGUUUAAUGGAUAUGAUUGCAGACAAAUUGUCAAAUCACGUUGAAAGUGCUUAUGCAGGUUAAGUGCUUGUGUUAUAUGUGUUUGGUUAGGAAAUUAGACAAACAAGGUUUUGAAUCCUUCAAGCACAGGUCGGAUUGAAGUUGUUCAGAAAUCAUUUGAGAGGGAUUUCCUUUUCCAUCCUCCAGGAGAAUGUGCAUCACUGCUUCCGUCUAUGCUUCAGCUGAAGGAGUAAAGUUUCUAAAUACAAUGUGUACAAACUGGGUGCUUGUGAGUCACUAACUAAAUCAUGUGGUUGUUGUGGAAGCAUCAUGGAGGAUGAGAUGCAGUGUGAACAGUGUGAGUCAACAUGUGAUUUUGCUACCCACUUCUUCUGCCAUUACUGUGCUUUAUGCCAAGAAGUGAGAGAGAUGCAACGUAGGUCUCCACAUCCCAGGCAUUUGAGAGGAAGUAUUGAUGCAAGUUGUGUACUGAUCCAUCUACAACACAAGGAGAGGGGUUCUACUAUAAUGCAUUUUAUGGUGAUGUUGGCUUGAGUGAGGAUCGCUAAAUCAUCAAUAAACAUGGGAGAAAAAUGUUGUGGUGAUGGAGUUGCAACAAAGAAAUAUAGUAUCCCUGAAGCAUCCCUAUCAGGCUCUGAUAUGAAUUUUUGAAGGCCUACUGAGUUGAUUGUUUUUAUCCUGAACCAUAUUACUUCAGCUGCUGCUACCGUCGUCCAGAUUUCUUUGUCUUGUAAGUCUUCUCUGUCUUUUCGCUUUCUUACUUAUUGUCAUCACUGCUAGACAAUAUAAUUGCCACAUUAAAUGAAAUGUCUUUAUGAAAUAUUUAGCUUGACCUGACCUAAAUAUAUGUUGUGAACUCCAAAUUCUUUACAUUGGUUGGAGAGGAAGCUUGGGAUAACAGAAAGGAACUAAAAAUGAUUGGACUGAAGUUGGAUAAGAGAGAAGUCAAGUUAUUAGAUUCUGACGAGACUCAUAAGCUCAAAAUGGUUGAGCGCCCGGCCUAUCACAAGGUUUGCGGAGGUUGAUGGUUCAAAUCCAUCUAAGUUUCAUUGUUAGGUUUAUUCAAUGUGGAUAGUAUUGUUCGUGCUUAGGUAGUCGAUUCAAGUUGUAUAUGUGUACAAACUCGUGCAUCUUGUCUUGUCUCAUGAAUAUAUGGGCUACUAUGUGCGUAUAAGAGCAAGUCUUAUGGUGAAAGAGUUCCAUCUUCCAUCUUCCACGCCACCUCAGCAUUUGGAACCGUGGAUGGAAGUGCAAGUGUAGUGGUGGAAUAGUGAAAACGCUAUUCUUAAUAGCGCUAAAAAAACGCUAUUAAGAAUAUCGUUUUUUUCUCAGCCGUUAGAUUUCAACAACUCAUCCUAAAUCUACGGACAAAAAAAAACGCUAUUCUUAUUGGCGUUCAGAUGGAUUCCACGAACCCUUCCACGAAACGGUGGAACCUUGCUUGGAUUUUCUGAGGAAAACCCCAACUUGGAAGCCAUUAGACUUGACAUUCCAUGGUUUUUCCACACUUGGAAUAGGUUGGCAUUCCACCACAAGACUUGUUCUAAAUGUUGGAUUUCCUGGAUUUUGUAAAAAUGUACUUAGUUGUAUACCAUUGUCCUGUCGCAUGAAUAUGUGGCCUAUUUUAUUGUGUGAAUGUUGGAUUUUCUGAAUUUUUUAGGUGUGUACAUAGUUGUACGCUA